ensembl:rRNA 5S_rRNA 5S ribosomal RNA
GCAUAUGACCAUACUGCCCUGAAUGCACCCAAUCUUGUCUGGUCUCAGAAGUUAAGCAGGGUCGGGCCGGGUUAGUGCUUGGAUGGGAGAAAUUAGAAAGACAGCAGAGAAUGCA